CCCCGCGCGGCCCCACGCCGAGGGCGCCAGGCCUGCCUAAGAGCCGUGGCGCUGGGAACCCGGUUCCCCCUGGGCCGGGAACCUGAUAACCAGCUCCAGCGCGAGCACGAGGGGCGCUCAAGGUGAACGCGCCAGGCCAGACUUUCGGGCAGCCCUGCCCAGUCCCCUGUCCUGGCCCAGCCCCUCUCCAUCCCAGCAUGCCGUGCGCGGCGGCGGCGCGCGGGCGCCUGGGGCGGGACCUCCGGCGCGCUGGAGCGUCUUCCGGCCGUGCGUUUGUGGCCGUCCGGCCUCUCUGACAUGCAGCCCUCUGGACCCCGAGGUUGGACCCUACUUUGACACACCUACCAUGCGGACACUCUUCAACCUCCUCUGGCUUGCUCUGGCGUGCAGCCCUGUUCACACUACCCUGUCAAAGUCAGAUGCCAAAAAAGCCGCCUCAAAGACGCUGCUGGAGAAGAGUCAGUUUUCAGAUAAGCCAGUGCAAGACCGGGGUUUGGUGGUGACGGACCUCAAAGCUGAGAGCGUGGUUCUUGAGCAUCGCAGCUAUUGCUCGGCAAAGGCCCGGGACAGACACUUUGCUGGGGAUGUACUGGGCUAUGUCACUCCAUGGAACAGCCAUGGCUACGAUGUCACCAAGGUCUUUGGGAGCAAGUUCACACAGAUCUCGCCCGUCUGGCUGCAGCUAAAGAGACGUGGCCGUGAGAUGUUUGAGGUCACGGGCCUCCACGACGUGGACCAAGGGUGGAUGCGAGCUGUCAGGAAGCAUGCCAAGGGCCUGCACAUAGUUCCUCGGCUCCUGUUUGAGGACUGGACUUAUGAUGAUUUCCGGAACGUCUUAGACAGUGAGGAUGAGAUAGAGGAGCUGAGCAAGACUGUGGUCCAGGUGGCAAAGAACCAGCAUUUUGAUGGCUUCGUGGUGGAGGUCUGGAACCAGCUGCUAAGCCAGAAGCGCGUGGGCCUCAUCCACAUGCUCACCCACCUGGCCGAGGCUCUGCACCAGGCCCGGCUGCUGGCCCUCCUGGUCAUCCCGCCUGCCAUCACCCCCGGGACUGACCAGCUGGGCAUGUUCACGCACAAGGAGUUUGAGCAGCUGGCCCCCGUGCUGGAUGGUUUCAGCCUCAUGACCUACGACUACUCCACAGCGCAUCAGCCUGGCCCUAAUGCACCCCUGUCCUGGGUUCGAGCCUGCGUCCAGGUCCUGGACCCCAAGUCCAAGUGGCGAAGCAAAAUCCUCCUGGGGCUGAACUUCUAUGGUAUGGACUAUGCGACCUCCAAGGAUGCCCGUGAGCCUGUUGUCGGGGCCAGGUACAUCCAGACACUGAAGGACCACAGGCCCCGGAUGGUGUGGGACAGCCAGGCCUCAGAGCACUUCUUCGAGUACAAGAAGAGCCGCAGUGGGAGGCACAUCGUCUUCUACCCAACCCUGAAGUCCCUGCAGGUGCGGCUGGAGCUGGCCCGGGAGCUGGGCGUUGGGGUCUCUAUCUGGGAGCUGGGCCAGGGCCUGGACUACUUCUACGACCUGCUCUAGAGAGCCACCCAGACGUCCCCACCGAGUCCAGCCCAGCAAGGGUGCAGGGGCUGCCCUGGAAAUGGGCUCAGAGGAGCUUGGCCCACCCUCUUGAAACUGGCCCUGGACCUUGGCUCAGCUCUGCCGCCUCAGAUGGAGUCUUCCCCUGUCAUCCAGGCUAGAGUGCAAUGGUGCGAUCUCGGCUCACUGCAACCUCCGUCUCCUGGAAUCAAGCGAUUCUCCUGCCUCAGCCUCCCAAGUAGCUGGAAUUACAGGUGCCCGCCACCACACCCGGCUAAUUUCUGUAUUUUAGUAGAGACGGGGUUUCACCAUGUUAGCCAGGCUGGUCUCAAACUCCUGACCUCAGGUGAUCCACCCGCUUUGGCCUCCCAAAGCCAAAGGGAUUACAGGUGUGAGUCACUACGCCUGGCCUCGUCACCACUUCUUAGAGCUAAUGUCAUGAUUUCCUUAAAACCGGAGGUCUGGAGACUGCUCUGCAGGCAGCUCCCCCAAGCCUGUGCACCAGGUGACCCCACAGCCACAGGGCUCUGCCUAAGCACUGUUCAUGCCAGAGGCUGCCCUGCCCCAGGCCUGGGUGCCAGAAGGGAAGAUAGAUGAUAGGGUAGGGAAAACAGACUAGCAAUAGACGCAAGGCUGCUGCUCACACUUUAUUAAGAUGCACCAGGAGCUCCACAGGCCCACUAUGGAAUGUAGGUGAGGGGUCCAUGGCCCCGCCUGGAGCACCAGGACCAGCGGGGCCACCUCCAAGAUGCGGAGACCCGGCUCCUCCAGCCCCAACCCGUUUCCCAGGAGGCUGGGGGCCACAGGCUGGCUCCCGUGUGAACACUGCUCCGGAGAAUACGUAAAUAUAAAAAGUGCUGGGGGCCCCUCCCACCCCUGCCCCGGGUUCUGCAGCCAGCUUGUAGCCACCCCUCCCAGGGGGGGUCCGGGGGCCCUGAAGCCACCUGAGCCAGGGCCUUCCAGAAACAGGGUUCCGGGGGCUCCGGGCACCUGUCCCUCCCUCCCUCCUCCCAGCAUGGGGCAGAGCACCGAGGUUGGUGGUGGGAAAGGCAGCUGUGGGCGCGGCUGUCUCCCCGUUGGCGUCCUUUUGGCAAAGAAGCGGGCGGCGGGCGGCCUACGCGCAGUACGUGUCUGCCUUGACCACCUGGCAGUACAUGGUCAUGGCGAAGGUCAGGCCCAGGAUCUGUGGGGAGGGGAGGAGGGCUGGGCACAGCAGCUCCACAGGCUCAGGCCUCAAGCCCAGAGCAGUCCCUGUCCUCAGCAGGUGCCCUGGCCCUGACCCCGGGGCAGGCGACACAGUGGCAGAGCCCUUCAGCUUCCCAGUGGUUCGCACGCCCCACCCAACCCCUGUGGCUUGAGCCACAGCACCCUCCCCUGAGCCUUGUAGGCAUGAGGACACCCAGGACUUCCCGAGGGCUAUGGAGUUUGGAGAGCAGGGGCCACUGGCACCAGGGCCCGGCUGCCACCCUCUGUGCACUGGCCAGUCCUGGGCCACCAACCAACACGGACGGCCGCCGGGCCUCCACCCCACACCAGCCUCUGCGUCUGUCCACUAGGAGGGAGCCCACCGUCCCCACAGGCCAUCCCUGCCCAUCCCCCUGAACUCGCCCUCCUGCUUUUGCCCCAGCCUCCCCCGAUCAUGGGUUCCUGGGGGUAAGGUCUUUGCUACUUUGUUCCCUGGGCUCAGAAGGCCCCAACAAAGUGGGAGCAGGGAGCCCGCAGGCCCCCAGGCCAUACCUGCACCAGCGCCGUGCACAGCCCAAAGAUGCCCACAGCCAGCAGGUUCUCCUGAAGCCACACCUUCACCGUCUCGUAGCAUGGCUGCAGGGAGGCACGUCAUGCGUGUCACGGCAGGGCCUGCUGGCCCCACCCUCUAGGCACCCACCAGCCCCCAGGGUGGGGGUCUCACUCACCGCCUUCCACCAGGUGCCGGGGGCGUGCAGCCCACAGCUCUCACUGAACUCCAGGCAGCAGGAGUCAGGCACCCGUGUGGCAUUGUACACCUCGAACCAGUCAGUGUAGUUGGAGACACCACAGCAGCGGAACUGGGGGGCAAGCUCAGGUCAGGCUGAGGCCGGAGGGGAGGGGGCACCCGCUGACCCCGCCCACCUGCCCACACCUCACGUCGGUCUGGAUGAUGCUCCAGGCGUUGGUGAGGCCCACGUUGCCCUGCGUGCCGUACAGGUGCAAGCCUUUCUUCAGGUCUCGCUGGGCAUACCUGUCAAUCUGGGGGUGUGGGGAGGGGGUCAGCAGGGCCCCGCCUACUGUACCCCGCCUCCCUCAUCCAGACCCCCUUGCUGACCCCUAAGCUGGGCCCCUCCUGCGCCUGGUCCUGAAGUGUCUCCCACCCCUCCUAGCCCACCAAGCUGCAGACACACCGGCCCCAUGUCCUCCCAGCAGCCCUGAGGCCCAGGGCCCCCACCUCUAGGCUUCCUCCCCAGGCUGGGGGAGGACCACAGGGCCUGGGGGGACAGAGGACAGGGACGCAGGUGCCUCCACGCAUCGGGACACAUGCAGCCAUACUCUGUGAGCUGAAAGUCAGGGGCUAUGAGUGCUGAGCCCACCCAGCACCCUGGCCUCAGUCCCCAAUAUUCAAUGAGGACCUGGGGCACCCUGGAGCAGGGGCUGAUUCCCGGGCUGGGGCAGGGAAUGCAGGAGGAGGCUGGAGCACCCUGCAGUGCCAGGAAGUCAGGAUAUGCCCCAAAAUGAAAAGUCUAUUGAUGGGGGCGCGUCAGGGGACCCAGUAGCUGACGGCAGGAACUCCCCAGGGCCAAGGACGGGCAGUGUGAUUCACAAAACAAAGUAGUGUUGUGUUCUAGUUCGGAGUGCAGCCUCAAUAGCCAGGACUUCAUCCCAAGAUAAACAAAUGGCUGAAUAUAUAAAUGAGUGGCCGAGAGGCCGCUCUACAGAGCAAAACCCCACGGUGCACAGCCAGGACGGGGCGCUGGGAGCAGAUGGCUCAGGAUGCUAUGUCAGAGGGCGGGGGACAACCUGGGGCACACCCUCCAGGUGGGGUGGCAGUGCUCUCAUGCCCCAGUCACCGCAGAGCCACAGCACAGCCUCCCAGGGUUGCCGGCGCUGCCCCUCCAGGCCUGGUAAAUCCACACCCGCUGUCCUGGCCGCCAGUGAGGGCAGAUGCAGGGCCAUUCUGUCCACACUGGGCCCACGAUGCUCCCUGGGAGUAAGGAUGGAGCCCCCAGCCCUGCAGUUGGGCCUGUGGCCAAGGUGGCCGUACCUUGUCCGUGUAGGCGAAGAAGAGGAUGGCGAUGGUGGCCUCCAGCAGGAACACCAGCAGCAGCAGCAGGAAGAACUGUGGAGGGGCAGGCUCAGACAGGGACCCGACAGGCCCCACGGCCUCCGCCCCAUAGCAUGCCAGGGGUCAGGGCCACGCACCUCAUGGAUACCUGGUGCUGCCGGGAAACCUCUGCCAGGCCCCCACUCCCAGAGACCCCAGAACGCCGCCCCCACCUCAGAGCCCUUGGCCCCAGGUCCAGGAACUGUGGCUGUUGUGUCCUGCUCAGCCCCUCAGUGUGGGGCCCCGAGCUGGCCUGGGCUCCCCUCCCCUGCCCCCAUCCCUGGGGCAACCCAGACACCCCCAAGUGGGCACAAGUCCCUGUUUCUGAGGCCCCAGCCCCUGUCAGCUGCCUUCAGGACAUCUCCAUCCAGGGGCCUGUGAGUGUCUGGCAGGUGCCUCGCUGGGUGCCUGUAUCUUCAUGGUGGGAAGAUGCCCCAGCAGGGGCCACAGCUGGGCUGCAGAGGUCCCCUCUGCCCCCACAUCACAGCCCUCAGGGCAGCCAGGGUGGCUGAUGCCCCCUCCAGCAAGACCACAGGCUGCAAGCUCCACCUCUGACCACGCAAGCUUCCCCUUCCUGGCGGCAGCCCCAAAGCUCCGCCGGACCCCAGCCCUGCUGCUCCUCCAUGCAGGGGUCAGUGACACCCACAAAAGAGGAGGGCAGGCAUAGACAGUGUGUGUCCAGGAGCUGGGGGGCCCAGGCAGAGUGGGCAUGAGCGGGGCAGACAGGGUGCUGGGCUAAGGACACAGGAGUCCCUCACCCCCAGUAGGUACCCAGAGUUCUGGUCCCAAGUCACCCAUGGGAAAGGGGGUUGGGCUUUGGUCCCUGGAGGCCUGGCGGGGCCCACACACAGCAGCUUCCUCAACUGUUUGAGGAGCUCCAAGCCCCAGCAGGGCUGCCACAGACCUCCACUCACUGCCUCCAGGGGUCUCUGGGCCCCAACCUGAUGCCAGGGAGGCUGACAGAUGUGGGGCUUGCCCCCAGGAAGGGGUACGGAGGGGAGUGGGCUGGCUGAGGCGACCUAAGGGAGACCCCACCCCAUCCAGGGCUUCUCAGACAAAGGAGUGAUCGGAAGCCUCGUGAUUUAGGACCUCAGCAGGCUGCACACCCCCCGUGGGGCCCAUGGCCUCGGCCAGGCAUAUUAAUCGGUAGCAAGCCUGUGUUUCCACCUAGGAGCCCUUUUCCUUUUUAAUUAUCUGUAAUUAACAUUUCCAAGGAGGAUAAACAUAUCCCUGCCUGUAAGCCCAUCCCCGAGGCGAGGUGGGGGCUGGGAGGGUCCCAGCAGAUGGUCCCAGGGAGUUGAGAAAUCAGACCCCCAACAAGAAGCUGGGAAAGGGGCCACAGUGGGGGUGGGGUGGUCAGGAAUGAAUCAUGGAGACCGCAAGCCCGUGAAAGUCUGCGCGUGCAUGUGUACAUGUGUAUGGGGCUGUACCUGCGCUCACCAGCGCCAGUGUCCCGUCAGGGGAGGCCUCUGACAAGGUACAGCAUGUUCUCUCGAGAGAGUGACCCCCACAUCACUCUGCAAAUUACCCCCCAGCCCCAGUGUAGCCUGGAAGACCCAACGGUGGCCAGGGCCCUGGGCCACACUCCAGGCUUGGAGGUCACAUCUGGGGGGUCACUGCAGCAGCCAAGGCCUGGGGGACCACUGGAGCCCCACCCUGCGUGGUCCCACCUGGAGCAUUGCUUGGGCCCCAGAACUCACAGUGAGCAGGAGGCACUUGUUCUCCUUGAUGGCGCCCAGGCAGCCCACGAAGCCGAUGGCCAUGACAAAGGCGCCGGUGAUGAUGAGCAGGUUGGCAGCCGACAGGGACGGGAAGGAGGAGGACAGCGUGGCAAAGCUCCCCUGUGUGGCAGCCAGCCAGAUGCCGACGCCCAGCACGCCACAGCCUCCCAGCUGGGGCACGGCAACAUGAGAGAGACAGACAGGGAAAAUGAGCUGUUCCGAGCUCCCCUCGCCCCAUGGGGAUGUGUCGAAGGGCACAGGGAGGACGCGUGCAGAGUGACUGGUGCCAUGCCAGGUGUGGGACACCCUGUUCCAUGGGGGCUGGGCAGGAAGGGGCCCUACACCUCCAGCCCUGGGCCCCUCCCACAAUUGUCCCAGCCCUGCUGGGAACUGAUUUCCCUAAUUAACACUCCAUGAAACAUCCUCACCUCCACCGGAGACUGCAGGAAAGAGACAUCCACUGUCAGCAGACAGGCUCGGUCACACACACUGACAGACAACAGCCCACGUUGCCACAGACGCCUCACACCAUCACACGUGGCCACAGACACGCGCAGUCUUGCCCUGCGACCCGGCGUCCCCCAGGCCCCGAGGCCCCAGCGUGCUGGCAGACCCACACAGAUAAAAUGCAUGCACGUGGUUAAUAAAAUUACCUGCAAUUUCGAAA